UGAGGCUGCCCCUGGGCAGCAAUGGGGAGGCCCCCAAGGUGUCCCUGACAACAGAAGAUGUGGCCAUGUGACUCAGAGCAGGAGUGGGGCAGCCUGGAACACCAGCAGAAGGAGCUCCGCAAGCACAUGAAAGGGAACCACAAGACUGAUCUCCCUGGGUAAGAGGCUGGCUCCUGGGGGCUUCUAGGCCCAGAGUCCUUGACUUUAUUCCUUUAUGGAAUCAAAUGAGCCUCUUAGAUUUGAGAACAGAAAGCACUUUGAGAUCCUUUGAUCAGCUGUCUUCAAGCAGAUCAAGAGACCAAGGCGCAGAGUGGCUGAAUAAAUUGUCCCAUUUCAUGUAGCCGUAGGAGCAGAGCCUCUCACACCCCGUUGAGGAGAACCAGCCACACAACCACAUUAGCUUGCAGCGGAGGCCUGGAAACAUGGUCCUGUUUAGGUGGCCACGUGC
rnacentral:lncRNA from 1 species